UACGUAGGGGGCAAGCGUUGUCCGGAUUUAUUGGGCGUAAAGCGCGCGUAGGCGGCAAGGUAUGUCGUGCGUGAAAUCUCCCGGCUUAACUGGGAGGGGCCGUGCGAAACUGCCUGGCUUGAGGUCGGAAGGGGAAAGUGGAAUUCCGGGUGUAGUGGUGGAAUACGUAGAUAUCGCUUGGAACGCCAAUGGUGAAAACAGGUAGCUGGGGGUGUGCUGACACUGAGACACGAAAGCCAGGGGAGCAAACAGG
rnacentral:rRNA from 1 species